UCAUUGCACAUUUCCUGGGCCAAUAAAAACCAUCGUUCAAAAACCAAAGACUUUGGCGGUGUUUUAUAUAAUCAGGGGAGCCUGUUACUUAAUAUGAUACUCCACAAAUAUCUUUCCACACUUAGAAAUACCAGCCUGUAUACUGCCGCCAAUGUUUAAUUUUAAAAACCUAACAACACAUAUACACCAAUUAAAUACCAGGUCAAAGUGCAGCCAAUAGUGCGGGGCCAAAUGGACUACAUCUACUCCAUACAAGUCACAAACAAACAAACAACCAGAACUUGACAGUAAUAAACUUUAACUAUAAAUUUAUCAAACCAAUUAAUAAAACAUGCACAUAUCGCCCGUCACUCUCAUCGAAAGAUA
rnacentral:rRNA from 1 species